rnacentral:rRNA from 1 species
UACGAAGGGGGCUAGCGUUGCUCGGAAUUACUGGGCGUAAAGCGCACGUAGGCGGCUUUCUAAGUCGGGGUGAAAUCCUGGAGCUCAACUCCAGAACUGCCUUUGAUACUGAAAGUCUUGAGUAUGGGAGAGGUGAGUGGAACUGCGAGUGUAGAGGUGAAAUUCGUAGAUAUUCGCAAGAACACCAGUGGCGAAGGCGGCUCACUGGCCCAUAACUGACGCUGAGGCACGAAAGCGUGGGGAGCAAACAGG